rnacentral:rRNA from 1 species
UAAAAAAUUAAAUAAAUUAAACUAAAAUAGUAUAUUAAUUAUUGAAACUUAAGUAAUUUGGCGGUAUUUUAGUUCAUUUAGAGGAAUCUGUUUAAUAAUUGAUAGUCCACGAUUAAAUUUACUUAAUUUUUAAUUUUAUAUAUCGUUGUUAAAAAAAUAUUUAAUAAUAAUAAUAAUAUUUAAAAAUUAAAAUAAAAAUUAAUUCAGAUCAAGAUGUAGAUUAUAAUUAAGAAUAUAAUGGAUUACAAUAAUAAAAAAUUAAAUGAAUAUAAUUUUGUAAAAAAUUAUUGAAGGUGGAUUUAAAUGUAAUUUUAUUUAAUUUAAUAAAAUGAUUAAAAAUUAAAAUAUGUACAUAUUGCCCGUCACUUUCAUUUAAAAAUUGGAAUAAGUCGUAACAAAGUAGAGGUACUGGAAAGUGUUUCUAGAAAGA